UGCAGACGAUCUCCCGGGCACCCUCCUGAUCCGCGAGCGCCGUGGCUGUGGCUGUGGCCGUUAGCGUGUCCCCGUGGUUCAUGACUGUCGCAUUCAGCAUCUGGUCCCCCAGCGCCAGGACACACACACAGGGCCAUGAAAACGGCCUUCUUCAAAGAUCCCACGGCUCGGGCCUCCCUUCCGGGGCCACCUUGCGCAGUGGCCGGGGGCUUUCCUUCCCAGAAGCCUGUGAAGUCCAGGGUACCCCACUCUCAGGAACCCCAAGGUCAGGGCACCGUCUACCCUGGCUCAGCUCGUCACCCACCGUCUGAAGCCCCUUCUCUCACCAAAGGUUCGGAGCUGGCGGGGGGCUGAGGUGUUCACGAACAGUCCCAGCCCCUGGGGCUGCAUGUCCAGUUCUGUGCGGCAUGAGAAAGGGGCUCCAUGGUCGCCUCUGCUGGCCAGCACAGGGGCAGUGACCUCCGCUGGCUCCUCCACUGCGGGCUGCCGGCUCAGCUCCUCCUCCCAGCGAAGCAGCACCACCGUGAGGCUGGUCCGGGGCGACCCACCCUCCACUUGGCAGCGCAGGGUGAAGUUCUGGCCCACCGGCUGCCAAGGAGGCAGGGGUGCCAGCUCCACACGCUCCGGGAGCCCUGAGAGAGGAGGGGAGGAUGGCACUUAGCGAGUCCUGCAAACCCACCCACUCACCCCAGGGACUGGGGAGGAGACAGGGCGGUCCUGCCGAGAACUGUGAGCUCUGAGUUAAUAAACUUAGAGGGCUUAGAGCUGGGCCAGUCGAAGCGUUUGCUAUUAUCAUUAGCGCAGUGAUUAUCAUUUCCUGUGUUGUCAGAUACCUUGCAAGGCGCUAAACAAAACUUUCUGUUCUCAAAGAUGGCACAAUAAAAAAAAAUGAGGAUGGAAGGGAUGAACGUUUAUGACUAUGAUAUGAAUAUUAAAAAUUCCUGUUUAUGGCCAGA